rnacentral:rRNA from 1 species
UACGGAGGGUGCAAGCGUUAUCCGGAUUCACUGGGUUUAAAGGGUGCGUAGGUGGGCAGGUAAGUCAGUGGUGAAAUCCCCGAGCUUAACUUGGGAACUGCCAUUGAUACUAUUUGUCUUGAAUACUGUGGAGGUUAGCAGAAUAUGUCAUGUAGCGGUGAAAUGCUUAGAUAUGACAUAGAACACCAAUUGCGAAGGCAGCUGGCUACACAAAUAUUGACACUGAUGCACGAAAGCGUGGGGAUCAAACAGG